GACGAACGCUGGCGGCGUGCUUAACACAUGCAAGUCGAACGAUGAAGCUAGAGCUUGCUCUGGUGGAUUAGUGGCGAACGGGUGAGUAACACGUGAGUAACCUGCCCCGAACUCUGGGAUAACUGCUGGAAACGGUAGCUAAUAUCGGAUAUGACCAAUGAAGGCAUCUUCUGUUGGUGGAAAGAAUUUCGGUUCGGGAUGGACUCGCGGCCUAUCGGCUGGUUGGUGAGGUAACGGCUCACCAAGGCGACGGCGGGUAGCCGGCCUGAGAGGGUGAUCGGCCACACUGGGACUGAGACACGGCCCAGACUCCUACGGGAGGCAGCAGUGGGGAAUAUUGCACAAUGGGCGCAAGCCUGAUGCAGCAACGCCGCGUGAGGGACGACGGCCUUCGGGUUGUAAACCUCUUUUAGUAGGGAAGAAGCGAAAGUGACGGUACCUGCAGAAAAAGCACCGGCUAACUACGUGCCAGCCGCCGCCGUAA
rnacentral:rRNA from 1 species